rnacentral:hammerhead_ribozyme from 1 species
AUCCAGCUGACGAGUCCCAAAUGGGGGGGGGAAACGCGCCUCCUGGAU